ensembl:lncRNA
GAUUAGAUCAGAGCUACUGUAAUUGAUCAUGUAGUAAAUCAUGGUCACUCAAUGAGAGAGGCUGGUCAGAGAGUGCAGCCAAAUCUGCAACGCUCUACAGUGGCAUCUAUUGUUAGAGUUUUCCGGCAAACCAACAGGACUCAACGGUUACCUCACACAGGAGGGAGAGGAUGGAUGUUCACUGAUGUGCAGGAAACUGCCAUUGUUGAUAUGGUCAUCAGAAACAAUGGGAUACAACUCACUGAAAUUAGACACAGAGUCUUGGCAGACAACGUUACCUUCGCAAAUAUUCACAGUGUAAGCGUAACAACAAUUUCUAGAGUCCUGAAAAACAUCAGGUCAGGAUGAAGCAGUUGUACACUGUGCCUUUUGAGAGGAACUCUGAACAUGUCAAGCAACUCAGGAACCAGUAUGUCCAGAGAGUCAUGGAGAUUGAAGGCAGGCAAACGCACCACAUUUUCUUCUUUGUGGAUGAGGCAGGUUUCAACUUGGCCAAAGCACGGCGCCGAGGGAGGAAUGUGAUUGGGAAGAGAGCCACAGUGAAUGUCCCGGGCCAGAGGGGUGCCAACAUCACAAUGUGCGCAGCAACAUCCACUGAUGGACUGCUGCUACACAGACCACUGAUUGGGCCAUACAACACUGAACGGCUCCUUGCGUUCCUGCAUGAUCUCUAUGGCAGGGUUGUGCUCGGUGAGGAAAGGGAUGCGGAGAGAAGGAAUCGGCCAACAUUUAUAACUGUAUGGGACAAUGUGGCAUUUCAUCACUCCCGUGCAGUCACCAAGUGGUUUGCAGCCUCCCACCUUACUCUCCAUUCCUCAACCCCAUAGAGGAAUUCUUUUCCUCAUGGCGGUGGAAGGUUUACGACCAUCAUCCACAUGAUCAAAUGUCCCUCCUGGAUGCAAUGAAUGCUGGAUGCCUGCAGAUAUCAGCAGAAGAUUGCCUGGGAUGGAUCAGGCAUGCCAGGAGAUUCUUUCCUAGGUGUGUUGCCCUAGAUGACAUUAGAUGUGAUGUGGAUGAGAACCUGUGGCCAAAUGGAGGAGACCGGGUUGAUUAGCAU